UAACCUUAAUUCCCAAAUUAAAGUCAAAAACCCUAGUUUCCCAAAUUGAGAAAACCUAACCCUAAUUUUUCCCCUUUCCCCAGCCUUUGAAACGCAACCCACACCCCCCUUUCAUCACCUUCAACGUAAACAGCACACACACAAAAUAGGGGAGGACUUCUGAGAGAGCUGAGGGAAAGAGAGAAGCGGACGAAGUACCAUCGUGCUCCUUGCCGCUGCUGUCGAACAGACUCGUUCGAGAGGAGAGAGUGCCGCGAGCCAGGGACGACGCGAGGAAGAAGAGGAGUCGUCGCACCCAGCCGCUGUGUAGCUCGCCAUCACCGGCAUCUCACCGCCAUCGCUAUGGAGACCGAACGUCGUCGAUCUUCCUGCCGCAACCUUGGAGUCCGCCCCGUCAUUGAGGAAGACAGAGAUGAGGGAGGAGCUGUGAACGCGUCGUGGUGGUUGCCGUCGCCACUGCCUAGGUUCCUGUGGUCAAAGUCGCCAUUGAUGGAGAAGACGCCACUGAGGAGCAGAGCCUCUAUUUCGCGCCAGUCAUGACGGAGCUACUACGGAUGUUGCUAUCUUGCUGCCACUGAAGGUCCAUCGCCGCCAAUCCACGCCGCUGCUGAAGAUGAGUUGUGUUUGCUCUUGCUUCCUAUUCGAUUCAAAUCCUUUGUCCUGUUGCAACCAUCGUCGCUGCCUUAAGAAAAUGAGACUGCUAUUAUUCCGGUUAAUGCUCCUGCUGCCGCCGUUUCCUCAUUCUGUUAUUAUUGUCUAAUUGAGAUCGGAGAGGAGAGGAGGCGUUUAACUUUGUCAUUGUUGCUGCCAUGGAAAUAGAUGCUGGAAACUGCUAAUGGAGCAGCUGCGUUUAGUAAUUUCCGUGAGUUUCGACAUUGAGCGACAGGUUUGAAGACGCAAUUUGAAGCUGCGAGCGAUCAGUAGGCUUUCUUUAUGGUUUUAAU